CGUCGUUGACGCCCCGCACGGUCACAAGAAAUCAAACGGAAGUUUCUUCACUUUAGGCGGUCGAUGAGUCCAAAUCACCAGAGUCUGUCCCCGUGUGUACUUUCACACUGCUACGGUGAACGAGCAGACGGUCGUGGCGCGUUCGCACAGUCGGGACAACGGGAUAAAUGGGUCCUCAGCUAGGAGGCGCCACCUUCGCUUAGAGGACGAACCUAAAAAGGCCCGCGAAUUUCGAACUCGUCCCCUGCCCCCGAUCACCUUCAAGAGGUGCUGGCCAACCACUAGAGAGAACGUAGCUACAUGACACAAUCAAUAGGAGACCAGCAAAUAUGUCAGAACCCAUUCGUUCAAAGAUGAUCUUCAGCAUUCAAUCAACGCUCUCAGUCUUUCUCGAUACAAUGUGCAGGUUUGCAUAACCGGGCUCGUUCUUAGACUUCAGGUGUUCAGCUUAAACGGCGAAAGAGUCUCUGAAGGCCGUCGAGCGGUGCUAUUCCGCAAUCCUCGUAACACCGUCCGAUGCAUUAGGUAAUAUUAGUGUGUCUCCAACGCUUCGUGAGGUUGAGGAGUUUAUUACCCAAGAAACGGACGUGAAUCCCAACGAACUUCGAUGUCGAGUCGAAGAUAUGACAACCUCGUGUCGGUCAACGAUGGGAAAUAUCUCUGACGCUUUGACGACAAUCAUAUUUGACGAUCUUUCCAGAUUGUUGCGAACUGGAAUGGUAUAUAGCAAGAUGGCUGCUCGAAUGGACGAACUGGCAGAAAUGGAUAUCGCAAUAGAGGGCCAACUAUCUAAGGCUAACGAAUAUCAGCGUCGCCUUGAAAGGGUGCGUUCAGCUCGAAUUCAACUAGAGCAUGCAUUCAAUGAACUUGUAGAAGGAGACCAACACACUGAUCCACAAAUCAGUGUAAGUGCCGUGGAGAUCGCCAGUUCUGAGAACCCACAAAAUGAUACAUCAGCGGACCUCAUUUCAAAUUACGCCGAUGCAGAUUCACUUCUACCGCUCACUCCCGCCACUUCGCUGAAGUAGCCCACAUGGAUUUUGAAUCGGUGAUGACAUCAACCAGAAAUGGCAGGAAGGUUUAAAAUAUUCUUGAAGGAAUUGUAUUGAGGUACUGUUUAAUAGAAACUAUUUCGGUAAAAAAAUAUUCGAAAAUUCAAGUAAACACGCUAAAAUCGUGGAGUUAGCUAAUUCACCGAGCAUGAAUUGGAUCUAGUGAGUCUGCUCCUGACAGUCCUUUAACAUCUUUUAAGUAUAACAGCACUAGGGACACAGUCAAACGUGGCGUAUAUCUGCCUUUUAAAACGGGAGUUUUUUUUGUCUAGCCAUAAGUUAAUAAACAACAAUCCUUUAGCGAGUAGUAAACUCACGUGUUGAGACAAUUCAACAUACUUUCUAUUUUGAUAAUGUUUUGUAGAUGAUAUUGCGAAUCUUUAUAUGAACUUAAGUCUAACUCGAUCAGUUUUAAAAACCAUUACUCGUAAGCGAGUCGUCCACUGCAGAGUGUAUCAGGCUAACUUUAGUCUACUCAAAUCAGGAGAGUACCAUUUUAGAAUAUCGGGGUAAAUUACCUGUGGUGGAAAUUUUUGUGUGCCAAUCAGGUAGGCAGCAUUUCUUAUGGUCUUACAAUUGUUAAUAAUCAAGAAUGGUAGUUUUAUUAUCGUUAAGGCACUUACUUAGGAACAUAUGCAUGUACCUUCCUGUGCAGUAUAACUUAGCUAUGUAAAAAAAAGUGCUAACUUGCUAAAAGUCGAUAGAAGUGUAUGCGGUUUAAGUUAAUUAAAAACUGGGUUUCACUAGGUCGACUAUGUUGACAACAGUCUAGAUUAAAGUGUAAUAUUCAUAUA